CCUACGGGAGGCAGCAGUGAGGAAUAUUGGUCAAUGGACGAGAGUCUGAACCAGCCAAGUAGCGUGAAGGAUGACUGCCCUAUGGGUUGUAAACUUCUUUUAUAUGGGAAUAAAAUGUUCCACGUGUGGGAUUUUGUAUGUACCAUAUGAAUAAGGAUCGGCUAACUCCGUGCCAGCAGCCGCGGUAAUACGGAGGAUCCGAGCGUUAACCGGAUUUAUUGGGUUUAAAGGGAGCGUAGGUGGAUUGUUAAGUCAGUUGUGAAAGUUUGCGGCUCAACCGUAAAAUUGCAGUUGAAACUGGCAGUCUUGAGUACAGUAGAGGUGGGCGGAAUUCGUGGUGUAGCGGUGAAAUGCUUAGAUAUCACGAAGAACUCCGAUUGCGAAGGCAGUUCACUGGACUGCAACUGACACUGAGGCUCGAAAGUGUGGGUAUCAAACAGGAUUAGAUACCCCAGUAGUC
rnacentral:rRNA from 1 species